rnacentral:tRNA from 1 species
GCCACCAUCUGCUAAUGGAUAAGCUGCGUCACUGACUAUGGCGAGAAUGCGGGUUCGAUUCCCACUGGUGGCG